AAGGAGUGAGAGUUGUGAGUUUUUUGAUAAGCCCUAAACACUCCUCAAGUUAACUGUAACCUUCGAGUCUGUGUAUAUCUUUUGAGUGUUUAAGAGGCAAUAGGGUUAGUAAGAAGAUGGCGAUGGAGGUGAACGAAGAGAAGCCAGUGAUGGAAGUCAAGAUUGAGGAAGCUUUGCGCUCUCGUAUCCAACAUUUCAAAGAUAAUGCCGACUCCUUCACUUUGGAGAGGGUCCGUAGACUGAUAGAGGAAGACUUGGAGCUUGAAAAGUAUGCUCUUGAUGUGCAUAAACGAUUCAUUAAGCAGAUCUUGGAGAAGCUAAUGGAGGAUGCUGCUGCUGAUGGUGUCCCUAAGGAUUCCCAGGAAAAUUUGGAAAAAGAUACUUCUUUGACUAAACAAGAAAAAGAAGUGCUCGAGUCCCCCAAAAAGCAAGUGAUAAAGAAAGAUAUCAAAGAGCCAGCACUUGAUCAAGCAGAAAUGGAUGAUUCUCCUAUAAUGGGCGUUAUGAGCUCGAAAUCUGAGUCAGUGGAUGCUCAAAGUCUAAAGGUAAGUGAGAGCUCAAUAAAGAAGGCCAUCUGGGAGAGAGCUGAUCACUUCAGAGAUAAUUCCGAGUCAAUAACUCUGGCUGGUGUUCGUAGACUUUUGGAAGAAGAUCUUGGUCUUGAGAAAAA
rnacentral:misc_RNA from 1 species